UACGGAGGGAGCUAGCGUUGUUCGGAAUUACUGGGCGUAAAGCGCGCGUAGGCGGCUUUGUAAGUUAGAGGUGAAAGCCCGGAGCUCAACUCCGGAACUGCCUUUAAAACUGCAUCGCUUGAAUCCAGGAGAGGUGAGUGGAAUUCCGAGUGUAGAGGUGAAAUUCGUAGAUAUUCGGGAGAACACCAGUGGCGAAGGCGGCUCACUGGACUGGUAUUGACGCUGAGGUGCGAAAGCGUGGGGAGCAAACAGG
rnacentral:rRNA from 1 species